GCAAGUCGAGCGGACAGAUGGGAGCUUGCUCCCUGAUGUUAGCGGCGGACGGGUGAGUAACACGUGGGUAACCUGCCUGUAAGACUGGGAUAACUCCGGGAAACCGGGGCUAAUACCGGAUGCUUGUUUGAACCGCAUGGUUCAAACAUAAAAGGUGGCUUCGGCUACCACUUACAGAUGGACCCGCGGCGCAUUAGCUAGUUGGUGAGGUAACGGCUCACCAAGGCAACGAUGCGUAGCCGACCUGAGAGGGUGAUCGGCCACACUGGGACUGAGACACGGCCCAGACUCCUACGGGAGGCAGCAGUAGGGAAUCUUCCGCAAUGGACGAAAGUCUGACGGAGCAACGCCGCGUGAGUGAUGAAGGUUUUCGGAUCGUAAAGCUCUGUUGUUAGGGAAGAACAAGUACCGUUCGAAUAGGGCGGUACCUUGACGGUACCUAACCAGAAAGCCACGGCUAACUACGUGCCAGCAGCCGCGGUAAUACGUAGGUGGCAAGCGUUGUCCGGAAUUAUUGGGCGUAAAGGGCUCGCAGGCGGUUUCUUAAGUCUGAUGUGAAAGCCCCCGGCUCAACCGGGGAGGGUCAUUGGAAACUGGGGAACUUGAGUGCAGAAGAGGAGAGUGGAAUUCCACGUGUAGCGGUGAAAUGCGUAGAGAUGUGGAGGAACACCAGUGGCGAAGGCGACUCUCUGGUCUGUAACUGACGCUGAGGAGCGAAA
rnacentral:rRNA from 1 species